AUUAGAUAAGACACAUUGAUAACCCCAAACGUGAGUGACCUACUAUCACAUAUAGAAAUUCUUCAAUAUGGCGAAGAUUUUGUAUCUCUUGCUUUUGGCCAAUAUAUUAGCGACAUGCUCCAUGCAGCUUAUUACACCGAUGAUGGCUUGUAAUAUGGAAUGCCUUAGGGAGAAAAACGUCACGUCCACUCUGUACGACAGCGUCGAAGCCAAAGAAUGCAGAGAAUAUUGUCACCAGCAUGCAUAUGAUUUUCUACAUCAACUCGGAUAAAAAGAAUAAAUGAAAAGAAAAAAAGAGAAAUCAGUUAUAUUUACAAAGGACUUCAGAAUAUUUAUUAACUAUCACUAUUGUAAGUUUGUGUAACAGUAAAUCAUAUCCUUUAA